ensembl:lncRNA
UUUUUUUUUUUUGAAACUGCUAGAAUGUAAUUCAGGAAAAAAAUAGGUUGAUUGAAUACAUCUGCAAGGACCCUGUGGCUUUGGAAGCAGGAGAAGCCCACCCUGGUCACUUUCAGUUUAUUAUAUAUCCUGAUCCCUCUUCGGCACGUGUCUUUCUUCAGGUCAGUUUUCUGUUUCUUCUAUAUAGUUUUGGAAGAUGCCUAAAGAAUAAUGCCUUGGAAAAGACCACAAGUUGACAUCAUUAUUGAAAGGUAUAUGGGUGUACUUUGGUCAAGAGUUAGGCUGCCGCGGACAUCCAGGCCUGCCUGAGUCAGUUGGAUUGUUGCGCAGGUGCACACCUCCACUUGUUCUAUAACCUGUUUGUGUAAGCUCCUUCUUGGCUCAGAAUUUACUUACUAUGGUCUGUAAAAGGUAUAACUGCCCUGCUGACACUGUACGGGCACUCUUGGGCUCAGCUUGACGUGGCUUGGGGGUGCACUGGUGCCCAGAGAAAGAGAACCAGAGCUGUCUGUCUUGCAGAUGGACAAACGGGAGCCAGGGCACGGCACCGCUCACCACUCGACAUGGCUUGUGCUGGUGGCCAGAGGGAAAGAGUUAAGCUGUUGACCCUGAAGGCAAGGGGACAGCCUGCUGUGCAGCUGUGUGUGGGAGCAGCCGAGCUGCAAAGCCGGCUGCGGAGAGGAGCUGCAGAGCCGGAGCAGACAGCCGAGAUAAAGGUGGACGGUGCAAUAGAGCUGCCAAUGAGAGAGCUGUUGAAUAAAACUACAUUUCACCUGCUUAGAGCCCCCCGAGUGUUCUUUCAGCUAUUCGCCCAUCCAUCCACUGCCCUCGGACCUCAGUGUGGGCCCGAACCUGACCCUGGACCUGACAAUUGGCGUAGUUGUGGACCUAACAACUAUCUUGAUGCCAUCUGCCAGGACCUGAGAAGCGUCUGGGCCCCUUAGUGGGGCAAGCAUUGCAGGCUGUAAUCCUCAUCUAGCACCCCUUGGCCAAACUCUAAGAGUGUAGGAAACGACUGAUAGUAGUCUGAAUGGGUAGAAUCCUGUCUGUAGCAACUUAGCUUUCUGUGUUCCAAGGAGGUUUUCUCUGAACCCUCCCUCUACCCCAAAGACAAAGCUCUCACACCAGCAUGGGAUCAGAACUGGUUACCAGUCUGGGGUUUACAGCUGAUCUUGAAUCCUGAUUCUCAGCCUAUGCUUAAUUUUCUGUGGUGACAAUUAAAGCUCAUUAAAAAGCUGACACAUUGUUUCCACUUGUCUCUGUGAUUUAAUUAAAAGUCUUAAGGAAGGAGGAGCAGAAACCGUAUUAGUCACAGAAAAAAAAAGUCUGGGGCCUCCCUUUUUAUCUCAUGAAGUUAUUUAUAAUUUGAGAGUUAUUCAGCGACUUCCACGAAGAGCCCCUUCUGUUGAAAUGUUAAAAGAAGAUGAAGUUAAACCUAAUCAGUAUGUUGUCCUUCAUCCAGAGGAAAUAUUGACGAGCUAAAAUAGAAUCACUGACAGCCACCUGCCUUCUUGUAAAUUCAUCUUAGAAUUUAAACUGAAGGAGAAAUGACGGAUAAUGAAGAACAAGUUUUUUCAAUGCAGAAAAAGUUGACUGGAGACUUUAUGCUUCAGCCUGAUAAAUAUAAUUUCAAUCUUCUUUUCACCCAAAUUAAAAUAUCUAAGUAACUCGGGCUGUUGCUUUUCUAGUGUGGUGCAUACAACUGUAUUGAUUUAAACAGUAAUAAGUACUCAACUUGCUAUUUAACCUGAUUGUCAUAGUUCCUGGUAGGCAUAUCUUCCAGGGAAUUAGAAGAAAUAGUUCUGGAGGUGAGGUUUGGGUCUUUAUGUCCCACCUAUUUUGGGAUGGUGCCCAAAAACGCACCAAGAGCCCAACUGAAAAAUAAUGACAUACUAGCUUGCUAUUGGAAGGUAAUUUUUAAAAUAACGCAGUUUUGAAAAAUUAAGAAUCAAGGUAAAUCCUUGGCUAAGUCUUUAUAACUAAUAAAUUUUUGAAAGACUGUAUACUCCUGAGAAGUACUAGAUGUAUUUAACUGCUUGAAAAUAUUAAUUAGCUCGUUGCUAUAGGAAACACCCUGUUCCAUUGAAGGCCAUGGGUCAGCAACAAAUAGCAAUGGGGCCAGACCAGAUUGGUGACCUGUUUAACCAGUGGUUCUCAAUAUCUGAAGGUGCUCAACCUUUCAUCUCUAUUAGACUCACCCAAAGGACUUUGACGACUAAUGGCCGGGCGCC